GUGAGGAAUUUUGCGCAAUGGGGGCAACCCUGACGCAGCGACGCCGCGUGGAGGACGAAGUCUUUCGGGAUGUAAACUCCUGUCAGUGGGGACGAUAAUGACGGUACCCACAGAGGAAGCACCGGCUAACUCCGUGCCAGCAGCCGCGGUAAGACGGAGGGUGCAAGCGUUGUUCGGAAUUACUGGGCGUAAAGCGUAUGUAGGCGGCAAGUUAAGUUCAAUGUUAAAGCCCACGGCUCAACCGAGGAGAUGCAUUGAAUACUGGCUAGCUAGAGGGUGUUAGAGGAAGACGGAAUUCCCAGUGUAGCGGUGAAAUGCGUAGAUAUUGGGAGGAACAUCGGUAGCGAAAGCGGUCUUCUGGGACAUACCUGAUGCUGAGGUACGAAAGCGUGGGGAGCAAACGGGAUUAGAUACCCUGGUAGUCC
rnacentral:rRNA from 1 species